GGGAAAACAGCAAGUUGUGAUGAUAUUAGAAAAGAAGCGAAGGUACAUGAUUGGCGGGUCGCCCUGCCAAUUCCAGAUUGAAUCAUCCAAGCACAUGUAUUUAGUAAAUAUCACUCUUCUAGGGGUGAUAAAAACAACAAAUGCAAGGUACAAGAUGAUCACAAUCUUUACAUCUUGACUGCAAAGACUUACAAGCUCCACUGGAUGAACUUACAAGACGAAAUAACCUUAUAUUCAAUAUUUCAUAACAAGUACAAGACAUUUUCUUCAGCUUUACUCGUGGAUCAUCUUUACUCCACAGCUGCUCCUCCCUUAAAAACAAUGACUGUCUUCAUCAACCAACGAAGCUAAUGCAGGAAAGGAACCCAAUUACUAGCCCAAAACAAGUGCAAUUCCUUUUCUCAACUAAAACCCUGAUAGGACUCGGGAUAUGAUCUCGACAACCAAGAAUGCUUUAGCUUAAUUAUCAAAGCAAAUAUGCCAUAGCAAAGGAUAUGCAUAAUCCCAACUCCUAUGUACCUGUAGAGUCCAUAAUAGCCACACAAAUGGAUUAGUUCAUGCUAGCAAGAUUGAAUACGUUUUAAUUUGUUGCAACAGCCAGAAGGUGGCCACAUAAGUUAAAAGUAGUCAUGGUGCUGCCAAUCUUUGAAUUCCCUUUGCAGGUCAGAGGAUUUAAAUAUAGGAAAAUAUAAUUAAAAACAAAAAACUGUAGGAGUUGAAUUAAAAAUUAAAAAAAUCCCCUAUGGGAACGUGUUUAGAUAUCCAAGGAUUUAAACUUUGAACUAGUUCAAAUUGUAUAACUAUGAAUCUCAACCUCUACAGGAGGGAAGCCAAAAAUAAAAAAAAUCCAAUUUGAGUGUGUGCUUGAAACUGCAUUUCUUUUUAUUGGCAUUUCAAAUUCAUUCUUAAUCAACUUUCCAUCCCAAUUCAUAUGCCUAACUAAUGAUAAAUGCGCGUGUGUAUGUAUAUGUGCGUGUGUGUGUGUGUGUGUUUAAUCUUAAUCAAUACACCAAAAACAAUCGAGAUCCCUCCAAAUUUAUGAAGAUAAAUGGAAUCUUAAACAACUCAAAGUCAUAAUCUCUACCCCCUUUUCCUUUUCCUUUGAGGACAAAAAGGGAUAUCUUUGUUUCACAUGAUGCUGCAGAUGAUUACCCAUACAUUGGCAUUCUGGCACUGCAAUUAAGGGGGCUACCUUUUACUCAAAAAUAGUCUACCCAGAAAGACAGAAUCCAAUAACAUGUAAAGAAAACUUUGUUUGAAUAGCCUCAGGUUCCACUAGCUAGUUAAAUUUACAAAUGUAAAAUGGAAGAAAAUCCAAAGGAACAAGAAACUUAGUUGGUUCACCUGGAGGUUAUCCAAGUGUUUGGUCAUGGAUUCAAAACCCAAGACCUGUUGGCCAAGAAUAGGAAAGAAGGAGGGGCAUAAGAAUCAGUUGAAUCAGUUGAAUCAGUUAAAUUGAAUGUAGAAGUGGUUCCUUAAACAAAUCUUCAAGGGUUUGGAUGCAUAUGCCUUACUUCAUAAUGAUAAUGAUGGGGAUGAAAACAGAAAAUGAUUACAUACCAUAAGGGAGCAUAUGGGGAUGACAAGUCAAGAAAUGGAUAUGGCCACCUAUAAAAAGAGGGAAGAAAAAGCAUGAUCAUGAUGCAUAAAAACUAAAAUACAGAGAAAUAAUAUAACAAAUUUGUAAUAUAACUUUACCACAUCGAAACACAUGCAUGGAUGAUCCACUGAAAGAUGACAAAUAUACAUGUCCACAAAAUAAAAUAUGCAAUCCGAAAGGUGGGAAACCGCUGGAAGGAAAAAAUUGUAAUUUAUAAUUGGCCAUUAAGGAACGAAAAUGAAAAUCACCAAUAACAUUGAGAAAUUAGGAUUACCAAACUAUUCAAAAAUGUGUCCCCAACGAGUAAGACAGCAUUGACAGAGUGCAUGCAAGCAUUCAGAAAAUCGAGAGUAUAAUAUUUGGACAUUACAAAUGGAUAAAGAAUAAACCAGAAUACAGUAUCAGUGAGCACCACGGCACCUGCAGAAGUCUGAAAAAUAAUUUGAAAAACAUAGCCCCAUCGACCAGCAGUUAGGCGACCUCGAGGUUCUCCAUUCAUAUCUAGACUUUUGGGCAAGUCAAAUAUAUCUGCUGUUUCCCUAAGUGAAGGAGCUGUAUAGUUGCAUCUCUCUGCAUCUAUAUUUUCAUGAUAAGCCUGAUCAUCAUCUAAUCCAUUGUGAUGCUUGCAACACCCAUAAAAGGAGAUUGAAGAUCCAAGCUGCAGAAGAAUUCAAGAGCUUAACUUCUGUAAACUGACAGUAAAAUAAUCUAAAGCAUAAGAGCAGCUCUGCUUCCAAAAUCUAAUAAAGAAACAGAAAUAUUGACAAAUUGACCGCUUUGUCAAUAUAAGAACUAAAAAUAAUUUAUUCCUUCAACAACUUUGGAACAAAUUACAAACAAAUCUGUACAGAAAACAUACCGCAAAAUAGAUUGUGACCAAAGUAAAAGUCCACCUGUGCAGAGAAAAGGAAAAGUGGGAAAAAUUACAAAUAUAAUGAGAAAACUUAAUAAAUCUCUCCCUCCUUUCACUGGGCAGUAUCUAUGUGUUAUAUAUUCCAUCAUUUCCAAGGAUGCUUUCAAUCCCAAAUAUAGUAAAAGACUGACACAAAUAAGGAGACAGAGUAAUAUGUUCCAUAGCGUCAGGCCUGAAGUUGACACAAUUUUUUAGAAUUAUAGCCCUGUCUAUUUCUGACUACUAGUUUAAACCUUAUUGAAUUUACUUUAUAUUGAAAGAACUUCAAAGCAAAAGACAAAUGCUGUGCAGGUUGAAGACUUACUGAGUGUAGAAGUAAAAUAUGCCAAUUCCAUCAACAACAGUAUUUGCUGUGAUCAGUGAGAACAUGAUAAUGAAAGCAGUUAUUCUAAAUACAAGCAACCAAGCAGGGUGAAUUCCUUUAAGGCAUGUCUUCCAAGCUUCGUCCUUGUAUAAAGCUUCCACUCUUUCUCGCUGAUUUUCUCUCCUCUCAGAUUCUGACUUCUUGGAUCCUUCAUACUUCCAUAUUAGAAUUGCCACAAAUAUUAUAGCAAGUAAGACAAAUACUGCGCAGAGGAAGAACCUCCAGUUCAACCAAUAACUUAAAGUGGUUGUAUUAGCAGUCAUGACAGGCUGCCAAGUAUGCUUUGAGGAUCCUGUCAAGGAACCCAACAAAUUAUUUAAACUUGUUACAUCAAUCACCAUUUUUUUUGAAUUAGUCAUUAAUGUUCUUUUUGGAAUGAGAAAAAAAGAGUCUACACUCGAUGAAACUAUGAGUUCAAUUCAAAAAGUAAAAAAAUUUCAUUGAUAAAAGCUGAUUAGAUGAAACUGUAAACAACUGAAUGAAUUUCUGCAGAAAACUAGCGUCCACUAUAAAAAAAUGAAUUUAAAUGAAAAAAAUCCCAAAUUUCAACCGUAAUGGAUAUGCAUGGUUGUGUUACAGAAGUGAAGACCCAAAAGAAGUCCUAAUUAAUUCAUUGAAAGAAAACCGUUUACU
rnacentral:misc_RNA from 1 species